rnacentral:rRNA from 1 species
UACGUAUGGUGCAAGCGUUAUCCGGAUUUACUGGGUGUAAAGGGAGCGUAGGCGGCGCGUUAAGUCUGAUGUGAAAACCCGAGGCUCAACCACGGGAGUGCAUUGGAAACUGGCGUGCUGGAGUGCCGGAUAGGUAAGCGGAAUUCCUAGUGUAGCGGUGAAAUGCGUAGAUAUCAGGUGGAACACCGGUGGCGAAGGCGGCCUGCUGGACUGCAACUGACGUUGAGGCCCGAAAGCGUGGGGAGCAAACAGG